rnacentral:rRNA from 1 species
UACGAAGGGGGCUAGCGUUGCUCGGAAUUACUGGGCGUAAAGCGCACGUAGGCGGUCUUUUAAGUCGGUGGUGAAAGUCCUGGAGCUCAACUCCAGAACUGCCUUCGAUACCUGGAAGACUUGAGUCCGGGUAGAGGUGAGUGGGAACUGCGGAGUGUAGAGGUGAAAUUCGGUAGAAUUAUUCGCAAGAACACCAGUGGCGAAAGGCGGCC